UGCCCAAACUCCUACGGGAGGCUGCAGUCGAGAAUCUUUCGCAAUGGGCGAAAGCCUGACGAAGCGACGCUGCGUGAGUGAUGAAGGCUUUCGGGUUGUAAAACUCUUUCGCGCAAGAGCAAAGUGAAUUAGUGAAUAACUGAGUCAUAUGAGAGUACUGCG
rnacentral:rRNA from 1 species